GUGUAAAGGUUUAUGAGUCUCUCUAUAGGUGCACGCGCCAUCAUGUGAGAGAGAGAUAGAGCUCUCGCGCUCACAGUCAAACCUGUGACAAGGCACUACUAUCCAUACAAAUAUGAAUAAUGAAGAUAUUAUUAAGAAUAAUUGUAUAAUUUAUCUCUUUUUAAGUAACGUUAACAUGACAGAUGACUCGCAAACGAAAGAGCGUCUCUCAAACGGACCGGAUUGGCUCCAUUGGCAAUGACGUCACACUGAUGUAACGGCAUUUAACGAUGUUUUUUUUUUUUGAGCGGACUUUAUACAAAAAGACGGAAAAUCGUUGUCUAUGUGAGAUGUUAUACAUUUACCGGAAAAGACAGUCCAACUUUUAUUACAAUUUAAUGGGUUUCAUGAGUGAAAACGCCUGCUAUUUAUUUUAGCAGUUAUUCCCAUCAGAAAAACUAACUGUUCCCGCUCAGGACUAUUUGUUAUUAUAAUUACUCAUAAUUAAAUUGUAUUUCUUUCUUUAUAGUUUUAAAUGUCAUUUACUUUUGUUGUCGGCCCAUACUUUUAAAAAGUAAUUUAACUAAAUCGGUUAAGUAAAGAGUAAUUCACCUCAGAAAAACGCACUGCUGGGGAUGUCACUCGAAGGGGAGUCAGGUGUGCGCGAGGUGAGCACAGACCCGGCUUAUAUAUGCCCCGCUGCCCGGUUCGCGGGCUUGGCACGCGACUAAGAAUUUAAAUAUUGAGAGAAAAGUUUUUUUUUUUUUUUUUUUUUUAAUGUAUGUACAAUUAUAUAAUGACACACUGCGUUAACUUGGUAUUAAACGUCAAAAACAUAGGGUUUUCAAAUAGUGUGGUGUUUGUGUUUUCAUACUAUAUUCAAAGCAAUGGUGUUACCAAAAAUAUAAGUCAUAUCUAUUUUUUUUUUUUUUUACUAACGUUGCUUUCUUUGUCUCCCAGUUUGAGUCCCUCUUUGUUAAAUAUAGUUGAGCAACCCCAUAGGUGGCGAUGUACGCACGCGAGUCGCCAAUGAGCCAAUGAGCCAAUGGAUGAAGAAGAGCCAGCCACGCAUUUAGCCACGCGAUCUCUUCACUCACUGUGUAUGGUACUUUAAUGGGUGAGAGAAUUCUGUCCUGAUGUUUGGCUGUGGUCCCUCCAUCAUCCACUCUUCAGCAGCUGGUCUUUGUAUGGAGGCCACCAUGAUCUAUACGGAUCUAAUUGUCUCAUCUCCCACAAACUCCACUUUCAGGCCAACAGUGACCCUAUCGAAGCUGGGCUCUUAAUACCGUGAUGCAAACCAAAAUGGUCCGGAGACAACUAGGGGGUGUCGACAAACUUCCAAUGAGGACCAUUAGACCACUUGAGAAGAAUUACCUCACAUGACCAAGCUCUCAUCACAACCCCUGGGUGCAGCAGCUGUGGAAAUUACGGGCCAAACUUUGGACACACUAGGAAUGACAUACUGGUUCAUCCUAAGAUGCACAGAUCUACCUCUAGCCCACCAUCAAUCCCACACUCAACUUGCAACGAAGUUUCAUUAAGUGCAGUCUAUAACCCGUGUCUGCCAUGCACGGUCUGCACCUUGUUUUAUUGCAGAUGUUAUGGAUUAUUCUAUUAGAGCUCUUUAUAUUCUUUAUUUGAGACUGUUAUUAUGUAGAGACUGUUAUGUUGUGAAUAAAGUCAACUCAAC